rnacentral:rRNA from 1 species
UACGUAGGGGGCAAGCGUUGUCCGGAUUUAUUGGGCGUAAAGAGCUCGUAGGCGGCUUGGCAAGUCGGGUGUGAAACCUCCAGGCUCAACCUGGAGUCGCCAUUCGAUACUGCUAUGGCUUGAGUUUGGUAGGGGACCACGGAAUUCCUGGUGUAGCGGUGAAAUGCGUAGAGACCCGGAGGAACACCAGUGGCGAAGGCGGCUUCCUGGUCUGCGACUGACGCUGUGGCGCGAAAGCUAGGGGAGCAAACGGG